GACGAACGCUGGCGGCGUGCCUAACACAUGCAAGUCGAACGGGGUUGAGCCCUUCGGGACUCAACUUAGUGGCGAACGGGUGAGUAACGCGUGAGAAACCUGCCUUUCAGUGGGGGACAACAGUUGGAAACGACUGCUAAUACCGCAUAAUGUAUUUUGGGGGCAUCCCUUUAAUACCAAAGCUUUAUGUGCUGAAAGAUGGUCUCGCGUCUGAUUAGCUAGAUGGCGGGGUAACGGCCCACCAUGGCGACGAUCAGUAGCCGGUCUGAGAGGAUGAACGGCCACAUUGGGACUGAGAUACGGCCCAGACUCCUACGGGAGGCAGCAGUGGGGAAUAUUGGGCAAUGGGGGAAACCCUGACCCAGCAACGCCGCGUGAAGGAAGAAGGCCUUCGGGUUGUAAACUUCUUUUAGUAGGGACGAAGAACGUGACGGUACCUACAGAAAAAGCAACGGCUAACUACGUG
rnacentral:rRNA from 1 species